GUGGGGGAGGAGCAGAGGGUGGCCUGGUAUCUGGCCUUAGUAUUUGACAGUCAGUACACCUCUGCCUCUGUGCCCAC
rnacentral:miRNA from 1 species